CGACCUGCCAUACCUGUGGGGGAUAGCCGGCCCAACGGCCGGGUAAUACCGCAUACGAUCGUUUUGUCGCAUGGCGAGACGACGAAAGCUGGGGGCAACUCUGGCGCAGGAUGAGGGGCUCGCGGCCUAUCAGCUAGUUGGCGGGGUAACGGCCCACCAAGGCGAUGACGGGUAGCUGGUCUGAGAGGAUGGUCAGCCACACUGGGACUGAGAUACGGCCCAG
rnacentral:rRNA from 1 species